AUACGGAGGGUCCAAGCGUUAUCCGGAAUCAUUGGGUUUAAAGGGUCCGCAGGCGGUCAAUUAAGUCAGAGGUGAAAGCCCAUCGCUCAACGAUGGAACUGCCUUUGAUACUGGUUGACUUGAGUUAUACGGAAGUAGAUAGAAUAAGUAGUGUAGCGGUGAAAUGCAUAGAUAUUACUUAGAAUACCGAUUGCGAAGGCAGUCUACUACGUAUAUACUGACGCUGAGGGACGAAAGCGUGAGGAGCGAACAGGAUUAGAUACCCUAGUAGUCC
rnacentral:rRNA from 1 species